rnacentral:rRNA from 1 species
GAUGAACGCUGGCGGCGUGCCUAAUACAUGCAAGUCGAGCGAAUGGAUUAAGAGCUUGCUCUUAUGAAGUUAGCGGCGGACGGGUGAGUAACACGUGGGUAACCUGCCCAUAAGACUGGGAUAACUCCGGGAAACCGGGGCUAAUACCGUAGAACAUUUUGAACCGCAUGGUUCGAAAUUGAAAGGCGGCUUCGGCUGUCACUUAUGGAUGGACCCGCGUCGCCUUAGCUAGUUGGUGAGGUAACGGCUCACCAAGGCAACGAUGCGUAGCCGACCUGAGAGGGUGAUCGGCCACACUGGGACUGAGACACGGCCCAGACCCCUACGGGAGGCAGCAGUAGGGAAUCUUCCGCAAUGGACGAAAGUCUGACGGAGCAACGCCGCGUGAGUGAUGAAGGCUUUCGGGUCGUAAAACUCUGUUGUUAGGGAAGAACAAGUGCUAGUUGAAUAAGCUGGCACCUUGACGGUACCUAACCAGAAAGCCACGGCUAACUACGUGCCAGCAGCCGCGGUAA